rnacentral:rRNA from 1 species
CACUCCUACGGGAGGCAGCAGUGGGGAAUUUUGGACAAUGGGCGAAAGCCUGAUCCAGCAAUGCCGCGUGAGUGAAGAAGGCCUUCGGGUUGUAAAGCUCUUUUGUCAGGGAAGAAACGGUGAGAGCUAAUAUCUUUUGCUAAUGACGGUACCUGAAGAAUAAGCACCGGCUAACUACGUGCCAGCAGCCGCGGUAAUACGUAGGGUGCAAGCGUUAAUCGGAAUUACUGGGCGUAAAGCGUGCGCAGGCGGUUUUGUAAGUCUGAUGUGAAAUCCCCGGGCUCAACCUGGGAAUUGCAUUGGAGACUGCAAGGCUAGAAUCUGGCAGAGGGGGGUAGAAUUCCACGUGUAGCAGUGAAAUGCGUAGAUAUGUGGAGGAACACCGAUGGCGAAGGCAGCCCCCUGGGUCAAGAUUGACGCUCAUGCACGAAAGCGUGGGGAGCAAACAGGAUUAGAAACCCGUGUAGUCCCAU